rnacentral:rRNA from 1 species
UAGGGAAUCUUCCACAAUGUACGCAAGUCUGAUGGAGCAACGCCGCGUGAGUGAAGAAGGUCUUCGGAUCGUAAAACUCUGUUGUUAGAGAAGAACACGAGUGAGAGUAACUGUUCAUUCGAUGACGGUAUCUAACCAGCAAGUCACGGCUAACUACGUGCAG